GACAGAGCAAAAAUUAGAUUUUAUUGCGCUACUCAAAACACGAAGGGAUAUUUCACCUCACAGUUCCUUGGAACUUUAUCCGGAGGAAUAUAUUUUGACUGGCACGUCUUACCUCCUAGAGGAAGAUCUGGUGGGAUAUUACUAGGGGUUUGGUGUGAAACGCUUGAGGUGCUUAAAGUGGUUCGGGGCGAUUUUGAAGUCAAGUUUCGGGUGAGAUCGAAAGUAGACGGCUUCAGAUGGGCUCUCGUUGCUGUAUAUGGGGCAGCACAACCCGAACUUAAACCGGAUUUUUUAGCCGACUUGGUGCAGAUCUGUGGAGACGAGACUCUUCCAAUCCUAGUCGGAGGUGAUUUUAAUAUAACACAGAGGAGAGAUGAAAAGAACAAUGACAAUUUUGAUGGACGUUGGUCUAUGAUGUUUAACAUGAUUAUUGAGAGUCUUAAUUUGAGAGAAAUUGAGCUCACCGGUAGACAAUUUACAUGGGCCAAUUCGUUGCCCACUCCAACUUAUGAGAAGUUGGAUAUGGUGCUCGCUAGUGUGGAAUGGGAACAAAAAUACCCAUUAGUGUCGGUUCAUGCGAUGCAGAGGGUGAUCUCAGACCACACACCAUUACUAGUAGACUCGGGAGAGGCUACCCAUAUUGCAAACAAGAAUGCUUUCUCUUUUGAACUAGGUUGGUUCGAGAAAGAAAACUUCUUGGAGAUCAUUGCACGCGAAUGGGCAAAGCCUGUGAGUGGACGAACAAGUAUUGAGAGAUGGCAAAAUAAGAUUAGACAUCUGAGAUAG
rnacentral:rRNA from 1 species